rnacentral:tRNA from 1 species
UAUGAGAUGACUGAAGUUUAAGUGGUAGAUUGUAAAUCUAUUUAUGAGUGAAUCUCUCUCAUAA